UACGGGGGGAGCAAGCGUUGUUCGGAUUUACUGGGCGUAAAGGGCGCGUAGGCGGCCACCGCAAGUCGACUGUGAAAUCUCCGGGCUUAACCCGGAAAGGUCAGCCGAUACUGCGGGGCUAGAGUGCAGGAAGGGGCAACUGGAAUUCUCGGUGUAGCGGUGAAAUGCGUAGAUAUCGAGAGGAACACCUGCGGCGAAGGCGGGUUGCUGGGCUGACACUGACGCUGAUGCGCGAAAGCUAGGGGAGCGAACGGG
rnacentral:rRNA from 1 species